CAGCGCGUGAGGAGACAGCGGCAGCGCGAGGGGUGGGGCAGAGCCCUCUCAGCCAAUUGCAUGUCUCGGGGGUGCCACCGAAAGGACGCGAUUGGCCGAGCGGGUCAUUCAGAACUCGUUCUGAUGGCAGCAGAGGGCUCGACCGUCACGGUUCGCCUGGUGCGCUCCUUCGAGCACCGCAAUUUCCGGCCCCUGGUGUUCCACGGCGUCCCCCUGGAGCAGACCGUGCGCGAGUUCAUGGCCUUCGUGCGCCAGGAUGUGUCUUCAAGAUCAGGACUUCCUCCUCCUUUCAAAAAUUACAAGUAUGAUACAAUGAAGAUUAUUCACCAAGCACACAAAUCUAAGACUGGUGAGCUUGUAGUGAGUUUGGAAGAUGAUGACAAACUGAUUUUGAAGGAAGACAGCACACUGAAAGCAGCUGGAGUAGGGGCUUCACAGAGGAGGCUCCCUCCUGCUCCUGCUGCUCCCUGAUUGCUCCCCAGCUACUGAAUGGGAUUUCUUUCUCCUGGGUUACUUGGCUCUCCUGAUUCCUAAAAUGAGACAGAAUUAGCAUUCUUCUGUGAGGAAGAUUACAGGAACUACAGAGCUAAUCCUGUUUCGGCCUGGUGAAGAUCCCAAGAGAUUGUUUUGUUUUCCCAUACCUGUUGUAAAUUUUCCUUAUUCUGCUUAAUGAGAUUUUUCUUAAAGAUCAAUAAAUCCUAGAGGAUUUCUUUGCAAACA